UACGUAGGGGGCAAGCGUUGUCCGGAAUCAUUGGGCGUAAAGAGCGUGUAGGCGGCCCGGUAAGUCCGCUGUGAAAGUCCAGGGCUCAACCCUGGGAUGCCGGUGGAUACUGUCGGGCUCGAGUCCGGAAGAGGAGUGUGGAAUUCCUGGUGUAGCGGUGAAAUGCGCAGAUAUCAGGAGGAACACCAAUGGCGAAGGCAGCACUCUGGGACGUGACUGACGCUGAGACGCGAAAGCGUGGGGAGCAAACAGGAUUAAGAAACCCCAG
rnacentral:rRNA from 1 species